rnacentral:rRNA from 1 species
AUGGAUUGCAAUACUACUCAUCUUGGCCAUCCUCUUAUUUUACCUGGUAAAAAUAGACCUGCAGCUUAUAAUUUUAUUAUUGAUAAGUUUAGAGCUAAACUUAAUUGCUACAAGGCUAACAGGUUGUCUCAUGCAGGAAGACUCACUCUUAUUAAAUCUGUUUUUGCCUCCCUUCCUGUGUAUUACAUGUCUAAUAUCCUUUUAAGUAAAUCCACCAUUAAUAAACUCACUUCCAUAAUUAGAAAGUUCUGGUGAACAGGUAUUGAUAAGGAUAAUGCUUCCAAAUCUAUCUGCUUUAGGGCUUGGGAUGAUAUUUGCAAACCUAUGCAUCAAGGUGGUCUAGGCAUUAGAGAUCUUUAUAUGAUGAAUAAGUCUAUGGUUGCUAUGAUGGCUUGGAGAGUUAUUAAGAGUCCUAAUUCUCUUCUAUUUGGAAAGUUCUCAAAGAAAAAUAUUUUCAUAACUCUUCUAUUUGGAAAGUGA